UUAUCAAGAAUUUUGUCCUGUGCAACCCAAACCCACUAAGGUUGCAACUGACUCCAGACAGAUAGAAUUUCAUUUCUUGUUCUAGCCAUGGAUAGAGAUAAAUGUAGCAGUACCUUUCAUUUUUUGAAUGACAAAUAAAAAGUUUUUUCUUUGGUACUGUAACCCCCCAGAAACAAGCAACUCCCGAGGUAAAGAAAAUAGAGGUAAAUAUGGAUAGUGCAUAUCAAUUUUAUUGAUUAAUUCAUAAUACAACAAGUCGUACAAAUUAAUCAAUCUCUUCAUGCCAAUCCUUAUAUGAUUAAGUAUCAAAGAAUGAGAGCUCUAGUCCAAAUAAACACACUUAAAUCACAUUGUACAAGUAAUAUACAAGCAAUCAAGAAAAAACUAUAGCAAAGUUCUGUAGAUCGACUUCAAAGCCCAACACAAGCCAGGAGAAUCCCCAAUUCCAUCUUCAAAUCAACCUUCCUCAGACCAUAUCGCUCAAUUUAUCCGAUUUUGAAGAAAAUGGUUGAUGAGGAGGAGUACUCUGAGGAGCAAAAUAAGAAGAAUUUGCAGCAUUUGCGCCAGAUGCUGCAGUACUGGUACCAGAACCAGGUGGCGGAGCAGGGACCCCGAAGACCUGAGCAUUGUUCCUUAAAUCUUGCCUCCCUUUAGCUCUUCCCAGGAAAUAACAUCCAAAUCCCAGUAAAAUUGAGAACAAGAUAAAUGGAAGGGAGAUCACCACCACCAUACCCAUUUUUUUUUCUUCUUCUUCUAGGACUUUGAUUGAUGAAUUUUUGAAGCCUUGGUUGUGCUGGAGGAGGUGGUGCUGGGGGUAGAAUUAAUAGGAUGGAUCUUUGGUUGAUGCCUGGCUGGAUGUUUCCAGGUUUUCUAGUUAACAAUGUGAGAAAGCUCUUGAGAUUGAAAGGGGAUGUUAAUGGGGCAGGGCAGGGCUUAACGUUCAAGUUUGUAACGGAUACUUUUCUUGUACCCACCAAGGUGGAGACACUCUGGCAUCAAGAAA
rnacentral:lncRNA from 1 species